CAGCAGCCGCGGGAACACGAAGGGGGCUAGCGUUGUUCGGAUUUACUGGGCGUAAAGGGCGCGUAGGCGGACUGACAAGUCAGGGGUGAAAUCCCAAGGCUCAACCUUGGAACUGCCUUUGAUACUGUUCGUCUUGAGUUCGAGAGAGGUAAGUGGAACUGCGAGUGUAGAGGUGAAAUUCGUAGAUAUUCGCAAGAACACCAGUGGCGAAGGCGGCUUACUGGCUCGAAACUGACGCUGAGGCGCGAAAGCGUGGGGAGCAAACAGGAUUAGAUACCCCUGUAGUCCCUGUCUCUUAUAA
rnacentral:rRNA from 1 species